rnacentral:misc_RNA from 1 species
UGUCAUUCAUGUGCCAGAUUUCUGGAUGGAUUGUUUAUAUUUUUUUGAUAAUUUCCAAACUAAAAAAGAAACUAUCCAGUCGCUUUUACGCAUUAAAACAUCCAAAGUGCCCUGUUUUUAAUAAUAAAACCCGAAUAGGAAGCGCUUUGGUCUGUAACCACGGGUUUCUUAGGUAAAGAAGCCCCAAAUGGGGGUUAAACUUCAUGCAGUCCUUAAGGGGCUGCCAAAAGGAUGGGAAACUGCCUUUCCAGUUGUUUGCCGUCAUGCGGAAACCAAGGGGCUCCUUGCAAUUUUACCAUGCUCACGAAUUCCCGCAGUGAUUUCUCCUUCCUUAUUGAUGAGAGAACUUCUGAGGAGAACAACGAAAAAAGAAAAAGUCAGCCGGGGUUGUUGCAGGUUUGGUAAACCCUCAACUUUCUUACCAAAGACUUCCUGAAUCACAACGAGUUUCACCUCAAAGUUCCUAUGCUAGCAAAGAUAUACAGCUUCAGUGUCUGGAUGCCAGGGCUCUCUUA